rnacentral:tRNA from 1 species
UUCCAGGUGGCUCAGUGGUAAAGAAUCUGCCUGCCAAGCAGGAGACACAGGUUUGAUCCCUGGGUUGGGAA